rnacentral:lncRNA from 10 species
UCUUCACUCAUUCAUACUAAAAAUCUGUAAAGGAUUCAUGGACCACCUAAAUCUAAUUUUCUAUUUUAUCCUAAGUUUUGUCUUUAAAUGAUGUCAUACCAGUAGCUGGUCUCUUACAGAAUUAGUUUCUGUGAAACGUGCUCUUGAUAUGUUACCUGCAUGCUUAAAACCAAUCAUUAGUUUUCUGUUUCUCUCUCAAGAUGAAGGAAAAAAAUCCCUUCAGGCCCCUGCCUUUCUCUCCAGCCUCAUUUCAAGCCAUAUUCCCCUCAUUUUCGCCACCGAAGCCAGGGUUCUUUCUGUUCCCUGAACUCUUCUUCGCUGCAGGGCCUUUGCACACCACUCCCCGUACUUAGCACGCGGUGCUCACCCCUCUUUGCUGAGUUAACCACCCUCACCCAUCCUUCAGAUCUUAGUGCAAGCUUGUUGCCCUCCAGGAAGCCUUCCUUGACCUUCUUGACAAGCUCUGUUACAGGCUCGUCACAGUAGCAAUGGCACAUGCAUUCCUGUUUUUCUCACUAGAAUGUCAGCUGAAUGAGGGCAAGACCCACGUGUGGUUUCAUUGUAUCCCUUGCAUUCUCAACACCUAAC